UACGUAGGGUGCAAGCGUUGUUCGGAAUUACUGGGCGUAAAGAGCGUGUAGGCGGCCAGGUAGGUCUGCUGUGAAAACUCGAGGCUCAACCUCGAGACGUCGGCGGAAACCAUCUGGCUAGAGUCCGGAAGAGGAGAGUGGAAUUCCUGGUGUAGCGGUGAAAUGCGCAGAUAUCAGGAAGAACACCCGUGGCGAAGGCGGCUCUCUGGGACGGUACUGACGCUGAGACGCGAAAGCGUGGGGAGCGAACAGG
rnacentral:rRNA from 1 species